AGUGAACGCUGGCGGUAGGCCUAACACAUGCAAGUCGAACGGCAGCACAGUAAGAGCUUGCUCUUACGGGUGGCGAGUGGCGGACGGGUGAGGAAUACAUCGGAAUCUACUUUUUCGUGGGGGAUAACGUAGGGAAACUUACGCUAAUACCGCAUACGACCUACGGGUGAAAGCAGGGGAUCUUCGGACCUUGCGCGAUUGAAUGAGCCGAUGUCGGAUUAGCUAGUUGGCGGGGUAAAGGCCCACCAAGGCGACGAUCCGUAGCUGGUCUGAGAGGAUGAUCAGCGACACUGGAACUGAGACACGGUCCAGACUCCUACGGGAGGCAGCAGUGGGGAAUAUUGGACAAAGGGCGCAAGCCUGAUCCAGCCAUACCGCGUGGGUGAAGAAGGCCUUCGGGUUGUAAAGCCCUUUUGUUGGGAAAGAAAAGCAGCAGGUUAAUACCCCGCUGUUCUGACGGUACCCAAAGAAUAAGCACCGGCUAACUUCGUG
rnacentral:rRNA from 1 species